rnacentral:rRNA from 1 species
GACGAACGCUGGCGGCGUGCUUAACACAUGCAAGUCGAACGGUUCAGAAGAGCUUGCUCUUUUGAUCAGUGGCGAACGGGUGAGUAACACGUGAGCAACCUACCCUUGACUCUGGGAUAACAGUUGGAAACAGCUGCUAAUACCGGAUACGACCUCGGCCGACAUCUGCUGCGGUGGAAAGUUCUGGCGGUCAAGGAUGGGCUCGCGGCCUAUCAGCUAGUUGGAGAGGUAACGGCUCACCAAGGCUUCGACGGGUAGCCGGCCUGAGAGGGCGACCGGCCACACUGGGACUGAGAUACGGCCCAGACUCCUACGGGAGGCAGCAGUGGGGAAUAUUGCACAAUGGGCGAAAGCCUGAUGCAGCAACGCCGCGUGCGGGAUGACGGCCUUCGGGUUGUAAACCGCUUUCAGCUCCGACGAAGCGCAAGUGACGGUAGGAGCAGAAGAAGGACCGGCCAACUACGUGCCAGCAGCCGCGGUAAAAC